rnacentral:rRNA from 1 species
UACGUAGGGGGCUAGCGUUGCUCGGAAUCACUGGGCGUAAAGAGCACGUAGGCGGUUUGUUAAGUCAGGGGUGAAAUCCUGGAGCUCAACUCCAGAACUGCCUUUGAUACUGGCGAUCUUGAGUCCGGGAGAGGUGAGUGGAACUGCGAGUGUAGAGGUGAAAUUCGUAGAUAUUCGCAAGAACACCAGUGGCGAAGGCGGCUCACUGGCCCGGUACUGACGCUGAGGUGCGAAAGCGUGGGGAGCAAACAGG